rnacentral:lncRNA from 1 species
UUGAGUACAAAGCCUCCUUAAGAGUAUCGGAGGCGGGGACCUCUCUGGACAACAACACAAAUCAGCUGGUAAAGACUAUUCAAAUUUCACAUUAGCAGAAAUAAGAAAAAUCAACGCCAAAGCAUAAAGUGACCUUCAGCAGAGUAGGAGCCAGCCACUCACCAUACCCUGAGGGCAGACCAGAAGCCCACCAAGACCCACCAACUCCUGAUAUCUCGGCCAAACCAAUGCCGGACACCAUCUCCCCACUUGAAGAACCAGCCAGAAAAUGGAAAAUAUCUAUCAACUUUCCUGAGAGAAACGAUAAAAAACCAAACGAUUCAAAGGUGGUCUGGACACCCAAUUUGGUCAGACAGGUGAAGAGAGCAUUUAGGAUAG